CUUGGAUUUGUUUGUUUUCUUUUAUCCUUCUCGUCUCCACUGAGAUCAGUUGAUUUCUUGGUUUGCCUUGGUCUCUUCCAUCUGCCAAGAUGGCCGAUAUAGUUGAUACUGAAAAUUAUGGCUUAAAGUAUUGGCUGACAUAGUUGAUGCUGAACAUUAUGGCUUAAAUUAUUGUCCUCCAAAAGAAUUUAACUUAAUUAACAUCAUCCAUCUAUUUAAAAGUAGCUUAUUGGUUAGCUUGUCAUCUUGAGCUCGUGGAUGCAAAACCAUCCUAAGCAGGCUGUCAACCAUUGGGAACCACUGCCUUUAUGUAUGAGGCAGGGGAGGGCUCAUUAUAGGUUAAAUGAACCUCAAAAGUUACAGUUACCCAUUGACAUUUCUGCAAGUAUUCUAGUUUGCAAUUGUAGUUAUAUCUAGUACAUUGUUUCUAUGGGCUUUGAUGGGGUGGCUGAAGUUGUAUAGUUUGAUGAUAUGUGCUUUUGUAGAGUGCUUUUAUGACCAUGAUGAAUAGAGAAACAUUUGUAUAUUUGCAUGUGAAUAUCACUCUUGAAUGUCUAAAUUUUGUCUGGUAACCAUUACUGGUCCUUGUAUGCCUCAUAGUUAUAACCCAUGAUAAUUGUACCCUGGAACCCGAUAAGGAUUCUACAUCCUAGUCUGUGGUGUGGCACUCUGGAUCAUGGUUCUACACAAUCCGGAUUGUGAUGAUACACUCUGGGUCUUUUUCCCCUAGUGAAAUACAAGUAAAUCACAUCAGAUAUUCCUACUCCAAAUUGCACUAAAUAGUUCAAAAUAAGGAAAACACCAAUAUUCAAAUUCAUGCCAUCAAGCACACCAUGCUACAAAGUAUGCGUUGUUUCAGCAUAAAGCUCUUAUUUCAGUGUGUUUGUCACACUGGAAUGGAAAUGCCAGCAUUCUAUUCGAGAUUGGCAUGGUUGACAUUUGUUAUUGUCAGUAAUGCAAUUUCAUUAGUAAAAUUGUGAAAGAAUACAGAAAAAAGAAGACAUGGUUGUUAUCAGUCAUCAUAAAAAAUGCUUAUCUUGCAUGGUUUAACUGCCAUGCUAAAUUGCAGUCCACUAUAAUUGCUCUAGGUCAAGAAAAUCUAACGAUUCUUACAUAUUUGACACAAGCAUUGGUAGAUUACUUGAGUUGGGUUAUCGUGAUCCAUGGGGUAAGCAGUUUUUUAGUUAGUGAGUUUUUUUUCUUUUCUGAAACAUCAUUAUUGUGAAUAUAAUGAUACAUCGUCAUGGCCUAGUAGAUUGCUUUCAUAGAGAAUCUGUCUAAACUAACUCAUCUUUGGAUAUAUUUUCUUGUCAGGUCUCUUUGAAAAGAAUGAACAGAGAGAUUAUUACAUUUUAAUAUUUGUAAUGGAUGUUCAGAAGACUGGAAUAUUAGAUUUUCACAGGUUAUCUUUUUGUUCUAUAGCCUCUUGUAGAACAAAUCAUUUAUCAUAUUUUGAGUUGUAACCCUUUUGUGACAAUAGUUUUGCAAAAUCCAUAUAAGAAUAUGAUACACUGCCAAUGAGUUUAGCAUCUAAUAGAUGGCUUUAAAUUGUGCCUUGUGCAUCACAUUGAUAAGAACCUCAAUAGCUAUCUCAUUGCUGUGAGCAUAAAUUUAUUCAUUGUUUGUCUUGUGUUUGAUUUGUGAACAAGUGAAUUCCAAAUUUAGAUGAAUCAUUAGUUAUUUUAGCCAUCAGCUAAUCAACAAACCUCCCAUUUCCAGCUCUGGCAGAAGGUUAUGCUGAGAAAGAUGUUUAUUAAUCUAUAAUUUGUUAUCAUAUUUUCUCUCCAUUUACUUGAUUGUAUCAACCAUAAAGUCUUCCUUUCUGGGAAAGCGCGCCAAGGAGUUUCACAAUUCAGUUAUGGAUGCAUACUUUUUUUCUGAUGCUCAUUCUAUUUCUCUUUCUUUCCCAAUUUUGCAGGGACUCUGGAUUUUAUUCAAUUGUAGGUUGUGUCAUAUAUCUGCUAGUUUAAUCAUAUCUGGAUUUUGCUGGUUUUAUUCUUUUACUGUAUUUACUGCUUCCUAAAUGUAUUUUUACAAGUCACAGGGAAAGUCUACCAUGGAGUUUCACAGGUCAGUGUUUGGCCGUAAAGGUCAGUUAUGGAUGCAUAUGUAUUUUCCAAUGCUCAUUCUAUUAUGCUUUCUUUCCCAGUUUUACAGGGACUAUGGAUUUUAUUCAAUUGUAGGUUGUCUCACAUAUCUGCUAGUUUAAUCAUAUUUGGAUUUACCUAGAUUUUUUUUCCUGUAUUUCCUGCUUCCUAAUUGUUGAUGUUCAUUUAGGUGUUUUAUUAUUUCUUUUUUCUAAAUCAUGUGCUUUUUUGUGAUGAUAUAUCUAAAUACUUCCUGUACAAAAAAGUCAAAAAGUUUUCAAGGCAGUCUUCUUUUCCUUGAUGACCUCGUUUCUGAUUUUGAUGUAAUUGAAUUGCUUUCAUUUGUGUUUUAAUCAUGUUCCUUUUUUGUGAGUCUCAUUAAUGUGUGCAAAUGGUUUCUGUGAAAACUAAAAGCUGCUUGUGGAGUGUUGUUCUAAUUGGUUUUGUUUUUUUGGAUUACUUCUGACAGGUGAAACUUUGGUUAUGAGCUCACUGAGCAGUGCAGAUCUGGAACCUGAAAUAUCUGAGCGGAAAACUUCACUGUCAAGCCACUUCAGGAUUAAAUUGUUGAAGCAAUGAAGCUAAGGAGUUAAAGGUGAACGAUGAAACUUUUCAACUGGUACAAUAGUGCUCUUUCUUUAAGAUAAUAAGUUCAAAACUAUGAUUAUAUCUUUGAUUGGACUACAAAGAAGUUUGCAAGUCCCCCACCAUCAUAACAUUUUCCACCUAUGUUCAGCACGGUGUAACUUUUAGGCUUUUUGCUAGUUUUCUGUACAACAAUACUGAUGCUUAUUGUUGUGGGUGUCACAAGCAAAAGAAGUUUCUACUGACAUUGUAACUGGAAUUUCAUGCCCAACAUUCUUAUAAAUAUUCUAGAUUCAGUCCUUGAUGAUAUAGAAUUUUCUUACUAUUCACAUUUUGGUAGCUUCUUGUACCUGUAGCAAGUGUGAAUCUCUGAAGUUCUGUUGAACCAUAUGUCCUUGUGAAGAUGGUUUUAUCAGGCAAUCAUUUUCUCAGUGGUAAGUUUUAGGGGAUAAAAAAUACGUGAUAUUACUUGAUAUUUUCUCACUUAACCAGGUGAAUCUGGUAUCUCUUGUUUAUGAAGUGUCAUGCAAUCUUGAAUCCGUUAGGGGGAAGCCUCUAAGUCACUCUUUGGUGUGAAUAAUAACCUGCACACCCAACCAUGUUCCCAUCAGACGUGAUAUUAUUUGAAUUUUUUCUAAUUUUCCACUAUAUUCCUUGACAUCCUUGUGGGGACAAAUCUAUUUUUGGUAGAUCUCAUGAGAGACGAAUGAUGCUACAAUGGCAGCUCCACCCUCUUGGAUGCUCUCACUGAGAUAUAUAUACGAGUACUUCCCUGCUGGAUCUACUAAUAUCUACAUCUGCUGUUCUAGGUGAGCUGAGUACCAUUAUUGUUGCUACUUUGUGUUGGCUUUGUCUGCUUUGUCUGUGAAAUGCUUGGGAUUUUCCAUUCACGGAGUCAGUAUUGUAGUAUCAAACAGCUAUGAUGUAAUUAACAGCUAUGAUUAUUACAUCAGCACCUGUGUUAGGACAAAUAAGUUGCACGAAUAAUGCAUAUCUGUUGCUAAUAUUAGAAGGAGACUUGUAAAAAUCUUUUUAGUUGUUUGUUUACAUAUCAGUUGCAAAUAACCCAAGUAUAUCUUAAAAUGCUUCAUAAUAAUUUAUAUAAGAUCAGGUGUAAUAGUUUGACAAGGCAACUAUUGAGUUUGUUUGCUUCACUAGACCUGACCUGACUUUGAUUACUCCACCAGGCUCAAAUCUUUUGCAUGCCAUAGAACUUUGGAUACAAUAGCUUAGAUUGUCUUGUUCAUAAUCAACGAGUUAAGACUGGUAUACAUGAACUUGAUGGGCAUGCUAUGAGUAACUUGAAAGCAUAUUGAACCACUUGGUCAAAGGCCCAAGAACCCAGUUAUUGGAUUAGUAGGUCUAUGGAAUUGCCAAUUGUUAUUGCAUUGGUCGGAAAUGAUCUUACAUUGUGUGUUGGUCUUGAGGAGGUCGGAAGUGGGGAAAUGAUGAUGGGUGUGAUAAACAUGAUUUCUAUGAUGCUUUAAAGUUAGAAAUAAACUGUUUUGUUAUGUACCAUGCUAGCUUUGUCUUUAAUUAUAUGAACAUAACUAUUUUAGUGUAUGGAAUCAUUCAAAGUUGGUUUCUAUGUUGCUUGAGUUAGAUUACUCUUGAAUAUUCAGCAAUGAGAUGGAGCAUCCAAAUGAAGUGUCAACCUUUUCUUUAGAUCAGGUGAGUCGAGCCACAUGCACUGAGGCACCUUUGGUUUUCAUGGUUCGGAAAACAUGUCUUGCAAAGUCUAGACCACUGCAGAGCAUAUAUGGUUUUAAAUAUUUAAAUCCUUGUAAGAUUUUGUUUACAAUAUCCAUUAAGUUCUUGCAAAAUUAUUUUCUUCUAUUUUCUUUUGAUUGUUAAGUUUUUCUCCUGCAGGUGUUAUGACGGCUCUGGCAAUUGAGACAGAGUGUAAAUACUUCUGAACAGAUGCUGCGAGGAUCAAAGCAAGGGAGCCAUUGGAUACUCUGAAAAGAGGUCGUCUUCUAUCUUCUUCUUCCUCUGAAAACAGGCAAUUGGAGCGGUCGUCUGGAUGGUAAUCUAAUUGUGUUCUUGAAUACUUUGCAGCGCAUUUCCAAAACCUUUGAGGUUGAUAUCUGCCAGCAACAGUGAAAAGUUCUUGGUAUGUACUUUGGAGUGAAACAGAGGAAAAGGCACAUCGAUUGGAGCACUCGCAACGGGGAAGAGCUCGUCGCAAGCAGAGGUCGAAUUCUUUGCAAUGGCAAGCAGAGAUUCAUGUGGAGAAGAAUCAGACCCCUUUUCCCUUCUGCUAAUUAAUUUAUCUGA
rnacentral:lncRNA from 1 species